rnacentral:rRNA from 1 species
AUUGAACGCUGGCGGCAGGCUUAACACAUGCAAGUCGAGCGGAGUGAUGGUGCUUGCACUAUCACUUAGCGGCGGGCGGGUGAGUAAUGCUUAGGAAUCUGCCUAUUAGUGGGGGACAACAUCUCGAAAGGGAUGCUAAUACCGCAUACGUCCUACGGGAGAAAGCAGGGGAUCACUUGUGACCUUGCGCUAAUAGAUGAGCCUAAGUCGGAUUAGCUAGUUGGUGGGGUAAAGGCCUACCAAGGCGACGAUCUGUAGCGGGUCUGAGAGGAUGAUCCGCCACACUGGGACUGAGACACGGCCCAGACUCCUACGGGAGGCAGCAGUGGGGAAUAUUGGACAAUGGGGGGAACCCUGAUACAGCCAUGCCGCGUGUGUGAAGAAGGCCUUAUGGUUGUAAAGCACUUUAAGCGAGGAGGAGGCUCUUUUGGUUAAUACCCAAGAUGAGUGGACGUUACUCGCAGAAUAAGCAACGGCUAACUCUGUGCCAGCAGCCACAGUAA